AGCUUUGCGCAGUGGCAGUAUCGUAGCCAAUGAGGUUUAUCCGAGGCGCGAUUAUUGCUAAUUGAAACUUUUCCCAGUAGCCAUGUCCUUAGUAGUGCUAUUCCAAAACAGACUCCUGAGGGCAGGCCACUUCCUCCUCACAGAAG